CUGCUCACUUCAGCAUCACAUAUAUUAAAAUUGGAACAAUACAGAGAGGAUUGGCAUAGUCCCUAUGCAAAAAUGACACGAAAAUUCAUGACAUGUGCCAUAUAAAA